rnacentral:lncRNA from 1 species
UCCAUCCUGGCUGAACUUUGGAUAAGAUCUACGUUUGGGAUUCUUCUUGGUGAUGGAUGAUGCCUAGACCAGCCCCAGACACCCUCCCAAGCCUAAGCUCCCCUCUCCUGUUCUGACAUCCCCAUCCCACCAGGAACCCAAGCUUGUGGCCAUCGUGCCAGGAGGACUUCUUCCAGGUUUUAGUAUAGCCUGAGUGACCUCUAGGAGUCCUUGGACCUGAGCUAACUCCUGUACAAUUUUGGCCGGUUGUCUGGUUAAUAAAUUAACAAUUGGUAAUGAUAACAGCUAGCCAACAUUGUUGGUUAUAUGCCAGCCACUAAGGUCCUGCAGCCACAUCCAAACAUCUUCACCCCACAGGACUAGAGGAGUCACUGACCCUGACUGCUGGGCUCCUCCGAUGGUCAUGGGCAACAACCAAAUGCAAAGCUUGGUCCCUGAUGGACACCAGUCUGAAGAACCUUUUCUAUAAGGAAUCUCCUCCUGCUCUAGACUGUGCGCAUCCUAACGGCAGCAGCCUGCCUGUCCUGUGCGCCACUGUGUUCCCAGAGUCCUCAGCAGGCCCUGGCCCACCUAGGUGCUCACUGAAUGAACACACAAGAGAAUGAAUGUAAGGCCAGCUGGUGGGACAGUGAGCGUCUGCCUGCACAAUGAGGCUGCCCAGGGGAGGAAGGUACCCCCUACAUGUG